AUUUAAGUAGUUUAUUAAAAAUAUUGAUUUGUGGUGUCAAUGAUAUGAUUUUAUCAUCUUAGAUC
rnacentral:tRNA from 1 species